UGGGGAAUUUUGGACAAUGGGCGAAAGCCUGAUCCAGCAAUGCCGCGUGUGUGAAGAAGGCCUUCGGGUUGUAAAGCACUUUUGUCCGGAAAGAAGUCCUUGGCUCUAAUACAGUCGGGGGAUGACGGUACCGGAAGAAUAAGCACCGGCUAACUACGUGCCAGCAGCCGCGGUAAUACGUAGGGUGCAAGCGUUAAUCGGAAUUACUGGGCGUAAAGCGUGCGCAGGCGGUUUGCUAAGACCGAUGUGAAAUCCCCGGGCUCAACCUGGGAACUGCAUUGGUGACUGGCAGGCUAGAGUAUGGCAGAGGGGGGUAGAAUUCCACGUGUAGCAGUGAAAUGCGUAGAGAUGUGGAGGAAUACCGAUGGCGAAGGCAGCCCCCUGGGCCAAUACUGACGCUCAUGCACGAAAGCGUGGGGGAGCAAACAGGAUUAGAUACCCUGGUAGUCCACGCCCUAAACGAUGUCAACUAGUUGUUGGGGAUUCAUUUCCUUAGUAACGUAGCUAACGCGUGAAGUUGACCGCCU
rnacentral:rRNA from 1 species